rnacentral:rRNA from 1 species
AGACCCGAAACCCGGUGAUCUAGCCAUGGGCAGGUUGAAGGUUGGGUAACACUAACUGGAGGACCGAACCGACUAAUGUUGAAAAAUUAGCGGAUGACCUGUGGCUGGGGGUGAAAGGCCAAUCAAACCGGGAGAUAGCUGGUUCUCCCCGAAAGCUAUUUAGGUAGCGCCUCGUGAAUUCAUCUCCGGGGGUAGAGCACUGUUUCGGCUAGGGGGCCAUCCCGGCUUACCAACCCGAUGCAAACUGCGAAUACCGGAGAAUGUUAUCACGGGAGACACACGGCGGGUGCUAACGUCCGUCGUGAAGAGGGAAACAACCCAGACCGCCAGCUAAGGUCCCAAAGUCAUGGUUAAGUGGGAAACGAUGUGGGAAGGCCCAGACAGCCAGGAUGUUGGCUUAGAAGCAGCCAUCAUUUAAAGAAAGCGUAAUAGCUCACUGGUCGAGUCGGCCUGCGCGGAAGAUGUAACGGGGCUAAACCAUGCACCGAAGCUGCGGCAGCGACGCUUAUGCGUUGUUGGGUAGGGGAGCGUUCUGUAAGCCU